GCUGCAGCUGCUUCUCCAGCAGUCGGUUGCGGCGCUCCAGCUCGUGCACCUUGGCCAGGAAGCAGCGGAAGCGGAGGUUGAGAGUCUUGAGCACGUUGAUGUUGGAGCCCAGCUGGCUGACUACUGUCCUGGAGCUUGGAGGACGCCUGGGCCUUUGUGACAGAAGACACAGCGGACAAUUCUACAUCCGUCCCUUUGGAGAUGCCAUUCUGCUUCUGGGACGAAGGCUUCUUGGGAUGCAGCUGUUUCUGCAGCCGUUGCUUUGCCUGACCAGCCUUCUUGGCAGGGCAUAGUCCACCACCCACUCAUUCUCCUCCACCUGAUGUGUGUGGGAGACGGAAGGAAAGCAGAGCUGGAGUUGAAGGGGCGCUGAGGGCAUGACAGCCCCAGGCUAGCUCCCUCCUGCACCCCGACAGGCCUCACCAUGAUGGAGCAGGUGCAGUAGACGAGGUAGCCCCCUGUCUUGGAGGUGGCGUUGACAGAGUCGAUGGCGCUCAGGAGCAGCUCCUUCUGUAGGUGGGCACAUCGUAGGAUGUCCUUCUCAUCCUGCCCCCAAGAAGUAGAGACCCAGGCAUUGGAAUCCCAACAGGGAACUUUGGAAAGAGCGCGCUGCUGGCUGCCUGGGGGGCCCCCUCCCCCAGCUACCCCUCCAAGGCUUCUCAGCUGGUCCCCCACCCCUGCACCUUGUUGGUCUUUACAGCAGGGUCCUUGGAGAUGAUGCCGGUGCCACUGCAGGGAGCGUCCAGCAGGACUCGGUCAAAGCCGCCCACCACCUGGGGACAGGGGAGGUGAAGCAGAUAUUUUGGGCAGUGGAACCAUACCGUGAGCUUCCCAGGGGCAAGUCUCAACAUCCUGAGAUCAGGAAGCGGGGAGGAGAGACACCCAGCGGGAGCCCCACCUUGGGGAACUGGCGCCCAUCAUGGUGGCUAAUGAUGGCGUUGGUGACCCCCAGCCGGUGCAGGUUGCCCACCACGCUCUUCAGCCGCUCGGCAUUGGCAUCAUUGGCGAGGAUCACACCUGUAUUCUUCAUGAGCUGGGCUGAAGGGAGAAGGGCACAGGGCUUAGCUGCAGCUUUUCUGCCUCCACACCUGCUGGGCUUCCCCUCUCCCCGCCAGCCCAGGAACCUGCUGGUGAAGCCUCAGCCCUUCCCCAGGAAGCCAUGUUCCCUGCUGUCCACCCAGUCUGUGCUGGGCCCUGUGAUGAGCAAACCUGCCAGGGUGGUUUUUCCAUUGUUACUCAACAGCUUUAGUUACUUCUUCCAAGUUAUAACAACAUAAUUAAAUGGUUACAACUAA